rnacentral:rRNA from 1 species
AUACGUAGGUGGCAAGCGUUGUCCGGAAUUAUUGGGCGUAAAGCGCGCGCAGGCGGUCCUUUAAGUCUGAUGUGAAAGCCCACGGCUCAACCGUGGAGGGUCAUUGGAAACUGGGGGACUUGAGUGCAGAAGAGGAAAGUGGAAUUCCAAGUGUAGCGGUGAAAUGCGUAGAGAUUUGGAGGAACACCAGUGGCGAAGGCGACUUUCUGGUCUGUAACUGACGCGGAGGCGCGAAAGCGUGGGGAGCAAACAGGAUUAGAUACCCUGGUAGUCCACGCCGUAAACGAUGAGUGCUAAGUGUUAGGGGGUUUCCGCCCCUUAGUGCUGCAGCUAACGCAUUAAGCACUCCGCCUGGGGAGUACGGUCGCAAGACUGAAACUCAAAGGAAUUGACGGGG